rnacentral:rRNA from 1 species
CGAUGAUGGGUACGGGGCGUGGGAGCGUGACCCCGAUCACUGGGACUGAGACACUGCCCAGACGCCUACGGGCGGCUGCAGUCGAGAAUCUUCGGCAAUGGACGGAAGUCUGACCGAGCGACGCCGCGUGUAUGAUGAAGGUCUUCGGAUUGUAAAAUACUGUCGAUAGGGCGGAAAUUUAGGAGGGCCAUCCCUCUUAUUUGACCUAUCUUUUGAGGAAGGACGGGCUAAGUUCGUGCCAGCAGCCGCGGUAAGACGAACUGUUCUAACGUUAUUCGGAAUCACUGGGCUUAAAGGGCGCGUAGGCUGUUUGUUAAGCGGGGUCUGAAAUCCCUCGGCUCAACCGAGGAACUGGGCUUCGAACUGGCAGACUAGAGUGAAGUAGGGGUAAGCGGAACUUGCGGUGGAGCGGUGAAAUGCUUUGAUAUCGCAAGGAACACCGGCGGCGAAGGCGGCUUACUGGGCUUCAACCGACGCUUAAGCGCGAAAGCUAGGGUAGCGAACGGGAUUAGAUACCCCGGUAGUCCUAGCCGUAAACUUUGAGCGGCUGUUUGAGGGAGUUUUUUUCUUUCUCGAGGGUAGCGAAAGUUUUAAGCGCUCCGCCUGGGGAGUAAGGUCGCAAAGGCUGAAACUCAAAGGAAAUGACGGGGGCUCACACAAGCGGUGGAGGAUGUGGCUUAAUUCGAGGCUACGCGAAGAACCUUAUCCUAGGCUUGACAUGCAUGGAUACCCUCCCUGAAAGGGGAGUAAGUUACUAGCAAUAGUGAAACUUGCACAGGUGCUGCAUGGCUGUCGUCAGCUCGUGUCGUGAGACGUCGGGUUAAGUCCCUUAACGAGCGAAACCCCUAUCGUUAGUUGCCAUCAUUUAGUUGGGCACUUUAGCGAGACUGCCUAAGUUAAUGCGGAGGAAGGCGGGGACGACGUCAAGUCCUCAUGGCCCUUAUGCCUAGGGCUGCACACGUCCUACAAUGGAUUCCACAAAGGGAAGCGACACUGUGAAGUCGAGCAAAUCCCCAAAAAGGAUCCUCAGUUCGGAUUGCAGUCUGCAACUCGACUACAUGAAGCCGGAAUCGCUAGUAAUCGCGGGUCAGCAUACCGCGGUGAAUGUGUUCCCGGGCCUUGCACUAACCGCCCGUCAAG